UACGUAGGGUGCAAGCAUUAAUCGGAAUUACUGGGCGUAAAGCGUGCGCAGGCGGUUAUAUAAGACAGUUGUGAAAUCCCCGGGCUCAACCUGGGAACUGCAUCUGUGACUGUAUAGCUAGAGUACGGUAGAGGGGGAUGGAAUUCCGCGUGUAGCAGUGAAAUGCGUAGAUAUCAGGAGGAAUACCGAUGGCGAAGGCAGGCCUCUGGGCUGACACUGACGCUCAUGCACGAAAGCGUGGGGAGCAAACAGG
rnacentral:rRNA from 1 species